rnacentral:rRNA from 1 species
UACGUAGGGUGCAAGCGUUGUCCGGAAUUAUUGGGCGUAAAGAGCUCGUAGGCGGUCUGUCACGUCGGCUGUGAAAUCCCGAGGCUCAACCUCGGGUCUGCAGUCGAUACGGGCAAACUAGAGUAUUGCAGGGGAGACUGGAAUUCCUGGUGUAGCGGUGAAAUGCGCAGAUAUCAGGAGGAACACCGGUGGCGAAGGCGGGUCUCUGGGCCGAUAACUGACGCUGGAGGAGCGAAAGCGUGGGGAGCGAACAGG